rnacentral:rRNA from 1 species
UACGAAGGGGGCUAGCGUUGCUCGGAAUCACUGGGCGUAAAGCGCACGUAGGCGGCUUUCUAAGUCAGGGGUGAAAUCCUGGAGCUCAACUCCAGAACUGCCUUUGAUACUGGGAAGCUCGAGUCCGGAAGAGGUGAGUGGAACUCCGAGUGUAGAGGUGAAAUUCGUAGAUAUUCGGAAGAACACCAGUGGCGAAGGCGGCUCACUGGACCGGUACUGACGCUGAAGCGCGAAAGCGUGGGGAGCAAACGGG